rnacentral:lncRNA from 1 species
GUUGGUACCAAGGGAACUUGUAAGGUUUGGAGUGCGGAGUCAAAAGUGAGGCAGGUUUAUAAUCUAAAAGUCUUCUCUAGUUUCUAAAGUCAGUCCCCCCCCCCAUCCUUAACUUAGGGCCCUUUCCUCCACCUUUAGAGAAGGAAAGCAGGACUUUUCAACUCUCUCUGAUACCAAGGAUCACUCCUCCCUCUUUUACUUUUAUAAGGUCAUUCACUGGACUAGUCUCACUCAGGUAACCCAAGAUAAUUUUCCUGUCUCAAGAUAUUUAAAUUAAUCACACUUGCAAAUCCCCUUUCACCAAGUAAUGUAACAUAUUCACAGGUCCUGACAUUUUAAGACUUGAACAUCCAUGUGAAUCUAAUAUUCUACUCCUUCAUGGUCAUCCUUGAUAGUCAUCCUUGAUGGACCCCUUGAUCAUCCUUGAUGGACUUUUUGGUCAUCCUUGAUGGUCAUCCUUGAUGAAUUCCUUGAUGAUCAUCCCUUCCUGUCAUUCCUCUUUGUCCAUUUCAACAGAAUGUUUACAGAUGUGAGCUCUCAGCCUCUGGUUCCUGCUGCCAUGCCUGCCACUUGCUACCAUGCCUCACCACUACAAAGGACUCUUAUGCCCCUGGAACUAUAAGUCCAAAUAAACCCUUCCUUCCUUCCUUAGGAUGCCUUGGUGAUGGUGUUUUAUCACAACAGCAGAAAAGUAGCCAAUACAUCUCAAGAAAAUUAGCUGGUUUCUGUAUCAAUGGGAGAAAAUGAGAAAAUCAGCUGAACAGACCUCCAAAAUGUUAUGAAAUUAUUAUUUCAUAAUAAUCUGAACCAACUGAUAAGAACUGACUCUAUGGUUAGAAGCCUACUGAAAGGGGAGCUGGAGAGAUGGCUUAGAGGUUAAGAGCACUGCUUGGUCUUCCACAGUUCCUGGGUUCAAUCCCCAGUAACCACAUGAUGGCUCACAGCUAUCUAUAAUGAGAUCUGGUAUCCUUUUCUGGGGUGCAGACAUACAUGCAAAACACUGUAUACAUAAUAAAUAAAUAAUUUUUAAAAAGAAACCUACUGAAAGUCAGCAUAUAGUUUUAAAACUGUUGUUUCUUUGAAGAGCUAAUUUAGUUGUGAUGACUAAAUAAAAAAAACAAGAAGUCAGUUUGUCCAAAUGCAUUAAGCUAUCAGUCAACUCAAUGAAAAGUGUCAGUUGACAGUUACUUAUUGGGGACAAUUUAUUGAUAGAUCAGCAAAAAGAUAGCUUAUCAGUUAAAAUCACUCAUCCACAAUAAACUUCUAAAGUAUUUGAGAAUUGGGGAGAUGGCUUACUGGGGAAAGAACUUGUCGUGCAAGCAUGAAGACCCAAGUUCUGAUCUCUGGCAGUCAAGUAAAAUCCUGGGGACAUGUUGCAUGCCUGUAGUCCCAGGGUGAGGACACAGGAUCCCUUGCACUUGUUGGUCAGUCAAUCCAGAUUAACCAGUGAGCUCCACGUUCAGUGCAAGGCCUUGUCUCACAAAAGGAAAAAGGAGGAGAACAACUAAGGAAGACAACUGAUACCAACCCCUGGCUCCC